rnacentral:lncRNA from 1 species
AAAUGUUGAUUUCUUCUCUACUGAUUGUCUGUUUCUCUCUCUAAUCUCUCUUUCUUCAACAAAUACUCGAAGUAUUAAAGAUUGCAGCUUUUGUAUUUUUUUUGGACAUGUAAAUUUCUCUAGCUAACCAAAGUCAUCUCUUUCACACCUCCCAAACUCUCCUCUCUCUCUCUCUCUCUCUCUCUCUCUACUACUAAUACACGACCUACGUAGUAAGUNNNNNNNNNNNNNNNNNNNNNNNNNACUAACAACGACNCUCUUCUCUACACCUACCACUCCUCUCUCUCUCUCUCUCUCUCUCUCUCCAUCAAUACAGCCCUAUGAAGAUUGGAGAAUCUAGCGUUAUGUUGUUGGCACUCGGGCGAGUUUGAAUUAAAAACAAAUGGGGCGGGUCAGUUGGUCCAAUAAGGGGAUGCCACGUGGAUUUUAAAAGAUGGGAGGGUAUUUUUAAUGUGUAAGGGAUAAAUAUGAACCUAAUGUAUAACGGUACGGAUAGUUUUGAUAGAAAACUUAAACGAUGGGUAAAUAAGGCAUAUUUAUGAUAGUAG